rnacentral:rRNA from 1 species
AGGGUUUGAUCAUGGCUCAGAACGUACGCUGGCGGCACGCCUAACACAUGCAAGUCGAACGAAGUAGCAAUACUUAGUGGCAGACGGGUGAGUAACAUGUGGGUAUCUGCCCUUUGGCCUGGAAUAACACGAGGAAACUUGUGCUAAUACCGGAUAAGCCCUUACGGGGAAAGUUUUAAUGCCAAAAGAUGAGCCCGCACUUGAUUAGCUAGUUGGUAAGGUAAUGGCUUACCAAGGCAACGAUCAAUAGCUGUUCUUAGAGGAAGACCAGCCACAUUGGGACUGAGACACGGCCCAAACUCCUACGGGAGGCAGCAGUGGGGAAUCUUGCACAAUGGGGGAAACUCUGAUGCAGCGAUGCCGCGUGAGUGAAGAAGGCCCUUGGGUUGUAAAGCUCUUUCGUCGGGGAAGAAAAUGACUGUACCCGAAUAAGAAGGUCCGGCUAACUUCGUGCCAGCAGCCGCGGUAAUACGAAGGGACCUAGCGUAGUUCGGAAUUACUGGGCUUAAAGAGUUCGUAGGUGGUUGAAAAAGUUGGUGGUGAAAUCCCAGAGCUUAACUCUGGAACUGCCAUCAAAACUUUUCAGCUAGAGUAUGAUAGAGGAAAGCAGAAUUUCUAGUGUAGAGGUGAAAUUCGUAGAUAUUAGAAAGAAUACCAAUUGCGAAGGCAGCUUUCUGGAUCAUUACUGACACUGAGGAACGAAAGCAUGGGUAGCGAAGAGGAUUAGAUACCCUCGUAGUCCAUGCCGUAAACGAUGUGUGUUAGACGUUGGAAAUUUAUUUUCAGUGUCGCAGCGAAAGCGAUAAACACACCGCCUGGGGAGUACGACCGCAAGGUUAAAACUCAAAUGAAUUGACGGGGACCCGCACAAGUAGUGGAGCAUGUGGUUUAAUUCGAAGAUACGCGCAGAACCUUACCAACACUUGACAUGUUCGUCGCGACUCUAAGAGAUUAGAGUUUUCGGUUCGGCCGGACGAAACACAGGUGCUGCAUGGCUGUCGUCAGCUCGUGUCGUGAGAUGUUGGGUUAAGUCCCGCAACGAGCGCAACCCUCACUUUUAGUUGCCAUCAUUAAGUUGGGCACUCUGAAAGAACUGCCAGUGAUAAGCUGGAGGAAGGUGGGGAUGACGUCAAGUCCUCAUGGCCCUUACGUGUUGGGCUACACACGUGCUACAAUGGUAUCUACAACAGGAAGCAAGACUGCGAAGUUAAGCAAAUCCCUAAAAGAUACCUCAGUUCGGAUUGCACUCUGCAACUCGAGUGCAUGAAGCUGGAAUUACUAGUAAUCGUGGAUCAGCGUGCCACGGUGAAUGCGUUCCCGGGUCUUGUACACACCGCCCGUCACACCAUGGGAGUUGGUUCUACCUUAAGGCAAGGUUUCAAACCCUUGACCACGGUAUAGUCAGCGACUGGGGUGAAGUCAUAACAAGGUAGCCGUA